rnacentral:lncRNA from 1 species
GCCUUGCAGGUGACAGAUUCUGCCCAGCUGGCGGCUGGGAGGUGGUGAGGGAUGGUGCUGGGCUCCUCGACGCCCGGGAAGAGCUGUUCUCCCUUCCUCCCGGGCGUCCAGCUGAAGUGCACUUCUCGGUGCUCCCCUGCAGGCAGCGGGAGCCACAGGACUGAGAUGGGGCUUGUGGAACUGGGCAGAAAUGCCGAAGUCCACGUCCUAGCCCGGCCACCAAGUCUCCCCUGCAGGAUCCCCUCACCCCCGCCUUCUCUGAGGACCCAUGCCCGGAGGACGUUGUGAGUCACGUGUGGCAGCACCUCCAGAGAAGAGUGAGUUGGGUGCCGCAGGGUGGUGUGGGGUAACGUCCCCCCAUGUCACGUCCCCACCCCCAAAGAGCCAGCAGAAAGUCAACCUUUGCUGCGUUCAGCCCACUGGAUUCCAGCCCCGUCCCUGACAGCAGCCUUCCCAGACUCGGCACUGCUGGGCUGUCCCUGAAGUCGAAGGACUGGACACUCAGGGAGAGGGUGGCGCCUUCCCGUCACCUGGAUUUCGGUCUCCCCGUGGACACGACUGCUGGUCGUGGCAGCGUCACUGCAGGCACGUCGCACGGAGACUGCAAACAAGGCCCUUUGAUGUUAUGUCAGAUUGUUUUCCUCCUCGUUCUUAAGAAAAUG